UGCCAUUCAACGGUGUGACCACCUACAGCCAGAGUUACACACACUGGGACAACCCCUCCACACUGAGAAGCCCGCAGUGCAUCCUGCCUGAAGCCACACUCAACUGGAGGGCCUGGGUGUCAGAGUACCAGGACCGGUACCAGGGCCCGGAUCACUACGUCCCUGGGCAGAGGAAGCCCCCUAGUGGCCUGAAGGAGCCCUGCACCACCAAGUACCAGCCUGGUGCCCACACAGCAGACCAGACCCGAGGACACAUCUGCUCAGAGUAUCAGAGGCACUUCACUAAGAAGAACUACCCUGGCCUGUCCAGACCCAAGACCAGCCCUGCGUACAGACAGAACAGAGUCAACUGACCUAAACCAUCUUCAGGAUUAGACCUGCAUGGUCUCUAUUCGAUGUUCAACCUGACAAAG